AAGAAAAAAUAGUUUUGGGAAACUUUGGAUUCUCAGGAGCAGGUUAAAAACAGAGUAACUGAGAGCUUACUAUGUGCCAGAGACUGUUCAAGGCAGUGGCACUUAGGAUGCAUUAGUAAAAACAUUCCUGAAGGAAAAAAAUUUUAGAGGACAGACCUUCAUUUAUGAAUGGGGGCCAGACAACACCCAGUGCCUUGCACAGCACUCAGAACUGGCUGAUUUAGAGUUUUAAAUGCUCUUCUAAUUCACUAAUUAAUGAAUGGAAUGGGGGGGGCGGGGGCACGGAGAUCCAUCUUCAGAAGAAAAUUCUUGGCUGAAUGAAAGAUUCUAGUGCAUAUAGGCUCGGUAGGUUCUGGUAGCACCCAACUAGAAUCUGGUAGCACCCAACUAGAACCUGAUGUAUAAUUGUACCUUUGUUCAUUUAAUUCCCCGGGGAUUCCAUUUCGAGCACAUGGUAAAGGAGGGAACAUUUUGAUACUGUGGAAGGCCCUCUUCAUUUGCAUGCACAAUUUGUUCUGUACUUUACCGGCCCUAUUAAGGGCUUUUCAUGAGUAAUUCUGACAACAGGUUUUUUCCCCCUGUGAUGUCAACGUGACCAGUCAAACAAUUUACUCGGAACUGUA